rnacentral:lncRNA from 1 species
AUGCUGCACGUGGUUGUACACUGUCUAGUGGUGUUAGCCUGCAUCCCUACCUGCACACAUCUAACCCAGCAUGUCUCCCCUCCCCUCCCCUCCCUCUAUCCUCCCCUCCCUCCCUCUAUCCUUCUCUCCCCUCCCUCUAUCCUUCCCUCUAUCCUUCUCUCCCCUCCCUCUAUCCUUCCCUCUAUCCUUCUCUCCCCUCCCUCUAUCCUUCCCUCCCCUCCCUCUAUCCUUCCCUCCCCUCCCUCUAUCCUUCCCUCCCCUCCCUCUAUCCUUCCCUCCCCUCCCUCUAUCCUUCCCUCUAUCCUUCCCUCCCCUCCCUCUAUCCUUCCUUCCCCUCCCUCUAUCAUUCCUUCCCCUCCCUCUAUUCUUCCCUUCCCUCCUUCUAUCCUCCCCUUCCUCUAUCCUUCCCUCCCCUCCCUCUAUCCUUCCCUUCCUCUAUCCUCCCCUCCAUCCUCCCCUCCCCUCCCUCUAUCCUCCCCCCCUCUAUCCUCCCCUCCCUCUAUCCUUCCCUCCCUCCCCUCCCUCAAUCCUUCCCUCCCUCCCUCUAUCCUUCCCUCCCCUCCCUCCAUCCUUCCCUCCCCUCCCUCUAUCCUUCCCUCCCUCCCUCUAUCCUUCCCUCCCUCCCUCCCUCUAUCCUUCCCUCCCCUCCCUCUAUCCUUCCCUCCCUCUAUCCUUCCCUCCCCUCCCUCUAUCCUUCCCUUCCUCUAUCCUCCCCUCCAUCCUCCCCUCCCCUCCCUCUAUCCUCCCCCCCAUCUAUCCUCCCCUCCCUCUAUCCUUCCCUCCCUCCCCUCCCUCAAUCCUUCCCUCCCUCCCUCUAUCCUUCCCUCCCCUCCCUCUAUCCUUCCCUCCCCUUCCUCUAUCCUUCCCUCCCUUCCUCUAUCCUUCCCUCCCUCCCUCUAUCCUUCCCUCCCCUCCCUCUAUCCUUCCCUCCCCUCCCUCUAUCCUUCCCUCCCCUCCCUCUAUCCUUCCCUCCCUCUAUCCUUCCCUCCCCUCCCUCUAUCCUUCCUUCCCCUCCCUCUAUCCUUCCCUCCCCUCCCUCUAUCCUUCCCUCCCUCCCCUCUAUCCUUCCCUCCAUCCCUUUCUCUCUCUCCCUCUAUCCUUCCCUCCCUCCCCUCCCUCUAUCCUUCCCUCCAUCCCUUUCUCUCUCUCCCCGGAACAGCGGCAGUAAUGAAACUUCAAUCUGACCCAGCAGGAAAACCAGAGUCUCUCUGCCCUUAUGAGAGGAGAAAAGAUGACCUCUUUCUGGAGUAG